rnacentral:rRNA from 1 species
UACGGAGGGUGCAAGCGUUAUCCGGAUUCACUGGGCUUAAAGGGUGCGUAGGUGGGCAAGUAAGUCAGUGGUGAAAUCUCCGGGCUUAACCCGGAAACUGCCAUUGAUACUAUUUGUCUUGAAUACUGUGGAGGUCAGCGGAAUAUGUCAUGUAGCGGUGAAAUGCUUAGAUAUGACAUAGAACACCAAUUGCGCAGGCAGCUUACUACACAGUAAUUGACACUGAGGCACGAAAGCGUGGGGAUCAAACAGG